UGGAGAGUGACCGCGGCUGCUCCACUGCUGAGGCCGCGCCAUGGCAGACGAGGAGCUUGAGGCGCUGAGGAGACAGAGGCUAGCCGAGUUGCAGGCCAAACAUGGGGAUCCUGGCGAUGCAGCCCAACAGGAAGCAAAGCACAGGGAAGCAGAAAUGAGAAACAGUAUCUUAGCCCAAGUUCUGGAUCAGUCGGCCUGGGCCAGGUUAAGUAAUUUAGCACUUGUAAAGCCUGAAAAAACUAAAGCAGUAGAGAAUUACCUUAUACAGAUGGCAAGAUAUGGACAACUAAGUGAGAAGGUAUCAGAACAAGGUUUAAUAGAAAUCCUUAAAAAAGUAAGCCAACAAACAGAAAAGACAACAGUGAAAUUCAACAGAAGAAAAGUAAUGGACUCUGAUGAAGAUGACGAUUAUUGAGCUGCAAGUGCUCACAGACUAGAACUUAAAGGAAAAAUUCUAGGACAGAAGUUAAGAUCUGACUAUUUACUUUGUUUAUUGUCUAUAUGCCUUUUAAAAAAAUAAACUUGUUAUGCAAAA